AGGCGAGUGCACCCUCUGUUGUAGAGCAGAGUAUCCGACCGGAGGCGAGUGCAUCCCUUGACUUGAGUACGCAGUUGGCUGCCUUAACCGAGGUGACGAGGCGGUCGGGGGAGCUGUUGGAGAGGAUGUGUGCGAGAUUAGCCCCGCCGCAGAAUACAGCACCAGAGCAGCCAGUUCCACCCCCGACUACUCCAGCAGCAGCACCGUCUACAGUAGUACCACCACCAGUGGCCGUUCCUCCAGCGCCAGUUGCGCCGGUUGGUGAGGCAUCGCAGAUGAUCGAGGCUGAGCAGGAGCGGAUGACUGAGAGACUCGCCCGCUUUCAUCAUUUCGAUCCACCGACCUUUGGCGGUAGAUGCUCAAAGGCCUGGGUUGUCGAGGACUGGGUCAGCACGAUGGAGAAGUUAUUUGAGGAUUUUUUUCAUUCCUGAGCGGGAGCAGGUACAUCUAGGAGUUCACUGCUUGACUGGGGAUGCCCUUGCAUGGUGGCGGAGGGUGAGACGAGAUUACAGGUUGGUGACUUUGCAGAUGAGCUGGAACGAGUUUUGUGGAAUGCUGUAUGGGAUGUAUUUUCCCAACAGUGUGAAACAGAAGUUCGAGGAGGACCUGAAGAGGAUUCAGCAUGGGGAUCGGUCGGUGCAGGAUUAUAUUCGGGAGUUCACCCGACUCCUGAACUGUGUGCCGUUUGUGGCUAGAGACGAGACGCACCGGGUGUAUCCGUUUGAGCAGGGUUUGAGGCCCGAGAUCUUCAGGUUCGUUCAGGCACAGAGGUUGAGGACCUUGGAUGUGUCCAUGGAGCAGGCACUUUGGGUUGAGAGAGGUGAUGCUUCGAUUCGUGAGCUAGGCAGCGGGGCGGAGCAGGACAGGAAGCGCCCAGUGCGAGACGACGGAGGACAGUCGAGCAGUAGGCGUCCGCCGAGACCUCCACGAUCGCGUUCUCAGGGUCGUGGGUUCUCGGGGCGUCAGCGUUCUGGGGGACCUCAGCAGCAGAGGCAGCCACAGGGGUUACCACCGUGUGUGAUUUGUGGGGGACCACACUGGGCCCGACAGUGUGAGCAGCGUGAGGGCCGGUGUUUUGGAUGUGGACAGCUAGGGUAUAUGAGGUCAGCUUGUCCCCAAGCAGCAUCACCAGCACCAUCUACAACAUCAGCACUGCCAACACUCCAGCAGACUUACGGGGCACCAUCGGGUCACCGCCAGGAGGACAGGGCGUCUGUGCCGCGUCAGAGUGAGUGGCGACAGCAGACUCCGAGUGGCAGGGUCUAUGCAGCCCAAGUGGAGGAUUCGACAGCAGCCAACCGAGUGGUGGCAGCCGGGGAAAGGGGCUUGGUGAAGAAUCCGUCUUGAUGAUGAUGGCAUUUGCAGUUGAAAACUACAGAAUUCAAACUUUCCGUGCAAAAAUUGGAGAAUCGAACACAGCAUCACUUAAGCUCUUUAGGAAAUUGGGCUUCUUGGAUGCUUCUUACAGUGAAGUAUUUAAGGAGGUAGG